AUGCAUGAGUUAACUAAGGAAAACAUUGAGCGCAUGAAUGCUAAAUAUAAACUUGCUGGAGAUAAGGGUAGAAAACAUGUUGUGUUUGCACCUGGAGAUCUUGUUUGGUUACAUUUGCGUAAGGAUAGAUUUCCUGAUUUGCGCAAAUCAAAGUUAAUGCCACGUGCUGAUGGUCCCUUUAAGGUGUUAGAGAAAAUAAAUGAUAAUGCAUAUAAACUUGAGCUGCCUGCAGAUUUUGGGGUUAGUCCCACUUUUAACAUUGCAGAUUUGAAGCCUUAUUUGGGUGAGGAAGAUGAACUUCCGUCGAGGACGACUUCACUUCAAGAAGGGGAGGAUGAUGAGGACAUCAAUACAAUUGUUACACCCACAGCCCCUGCUGCUAUACAUACUGGACCAAUUACUAGAGCUCGUGCACUCCAACUAAAUUACCAGGUACUUUCGUUUCUUGGUAAUGAUUUUAAUGUUCAUGAGAAUAUGAUGCUGCCUAAAUUGGAUACAUUUGUUUUGCUUACAAAUGAAGGGCCUAGCUUGGAGAAGGAUGAACAUUGGAGCAAGAACAAGCAUGGAGAUGAUGGCAUGCGCAAGGGGAACAAGAACGGAGUUACAAGUGAUGAUUUCAGGACUUUGAAGCCACCAUAA
rnacentral:rRNA from 1 species